rnacentral:rRNA from 1 species
AGCAGUCGCCACGGUAAUACGUAGGGUGCAAGCGUUAAUCGGAAUUACUGGGCGUAAAGCGUGCGCAGGCGGUUAUAUAAGACAGAUGUGAAAUCCCCGGGCUCAACCUGGGAACUGCAUUUGUGACUGUAUAGCUAGAGUACGGCAGAGGGGGAUGGAAUUCCGCGUGUAGCAGUGAAAUGCGUAGAUAUGCGGAGGAACACCGAUGGCGAAGGCAAUCCCCUGGGCCUGUACUGACGCUCAUGCACGAAAGCGUGGGGAGCAAACAGGAUUAGAUACCCGUGUAGUCCCUGUCUCUUAUAC